rnacentral:rRNA from 1 species
GGACGAACGCUGGCGGCGUGCCUAAUCCAUGCAAGUCGAACGCUGAAGAGAGGAGCUUGCUCUUCUUGGAUGAGUUGCGAACGGGUGAGUAACGCGUAGGUAACCUGCCUGGUAGCGGGGGAUAACUAUUGGAAACGAUAGCUAAUACCGCAUAAAAUUGAUUAUUGCAUGAUAAUUAAUUGAAAGAUGCAACUGCAUCACUACCAGAUGGACCUGCGUUGUAUUAGCUAGUUGGUGAGGUAACGGCUCACCAAGGCGACGAUACAUGGCCGACCUGAGAGGGUGAUCGGCCACACUGGGACUGAGACACGGCCCAGACUCCUACGGGAGGCAGCAGUAGGGAAUCUUCGGCAAUGGGGGGAACCCUGACCGAGCAACGCCGCGUGAGUGAAGAAGGUUUUCGGAUCGUAAAGCUCUGUUGUAAGAGAAGAACGGGUGUGAGAGUGGAAAGUUCACACUGUGACGGUAGCUUACCAGAAAGGGACGGCUAACUACGUG